rnacentral:rRNA from 1 species
GACGAACGCUGGCGGCGUGCCUAAUACAUGCAAGUAGAACGCUGAGGACUGGUGCUUGCACUGGUCUAAGGAGUUGCGAACGGGUGAGUAACGCGUAGGUAACCUACCUCAUAGCGGGGGAUAACUAUUGGAAACGAUAGCUAAUACCGCAUGACAAUAGGGUACACAUGUACCCUAUUUAAAAGGGGCAAAUGCUUCACUAUGAGAUGGACCUGCGUUGUAUUAGCUAGUUGGUAAGGUAACGGCUUACCAAGGCGACGAUACAUAGCCGACCUGAGAGGGUGAUCGGCCACACUGGGACUGAGACACGGCCCAGACUCCUACGGGAGGCAGCAGUAGGGAAUCUUCGGCAAUGGGGGGAACCCUGACCGAGCAACGCCGCGUGAGUGAAGAAGGUUUUCGGAUCGUAAAGCUCUGUUGUUAGAGAAGAACGGUAAUGGGAGUGGAAAAUCCAUUACGUGACGGUAACUAACCAGAAAGGGACGGCUAACUACGUGCCAGCAGCCGCGGUAAUACGUAGGUCCCGAGCGUUGUCCGGAUUUAUUGGGCGUAAAGCGAGCGCAGGCGGUUUGAUAAGUCUGAAGUUAAAGGCUGUGGCUUAACCAUAGUUCGCUUUGGAAACUGUCAAACUUGAGUGCAGAAGGGGAGAGUGGAAUUC